UGGGGAAUUUUUCGCAAUGGGCGCAAGCCUGACGAAGCAACGCCGCGUGGAGGAUGAAGGUCUUCGGAUUGUAAACUCCUGUCGACCGGGACGAAUGCACCCGACCUAAUACGUCGAAGUGUUGACGGUACCGGUGGAGGAAGCCACGGCUAACUCUGUGCCAGCAGCCGCGGUAAUACAGAGGUGGCAAGCGUUGUUCGGAAUUACUGGGCGUAAAGGGCGCGUAGGCGGCCUUAUAAGUCUCGUGUGAAAGCCCUCGGCUUAACUGAGGAUCUGCACGGGAUACUGUAAGGCUCGAGUUCGGGAGAGGAAAGCGGAAUUCCGGGUGUAGCGGUGAAAUGCGUAGAUAUCCGGAGGAACACCGGUGGCGAAAGCGGCUCACUGGACCGUUACUGACGCUGAGGUGCGAAAGCUAGGGGAGCAAACGGGAUUAGAUACCCAGGUAGUCCCUGAGCGGGCUGGCAAGGCGCAU
rnacentral:rRNA from 1 species